rnacentral:lncRNA from 1 species
GUUAAAAUGUAGGAGAGGCAUUCUGAGAAAAUUAUGCUGCUGUACUCCUUCAUCUAUUCUGGUAGUGGUGUUCUUGCUGAUGACGAGGAUGGUAGCAGCAUCUUCAGAGUGUUAUAUCUAUGCUUCAGAAGGGGAUAAAGCUUGGGGAAGAUUCUCUGUUAAAAGGAACGUGGCAAAUUAUUAGAGCUGUCUGUAUGAAGGAUGUAAAGCUAUCUGUGGUGAACAAAGAGGACUUUUAGCUAAUAUAUUAGAGGAGGAGCUUCAAAAAGGAUCGCACUGUCACUGUAACUUCAAAUAAUGUCUUCCAAUAUAAUUAACUAUUGAUUAUUGUUUUACUCUUAAUGUAUAAUUAUUUCUUAAAUUUUCCUAUCUAUGUCAAGGCCAUAGGUAGAAAUAUAUGUACUAAUUAUUUUGUCUCUUGAGGUACUAUCAAAGGGAAGGUAUUUCUCCAUAUUUUAACUGGCAGGGUCAGCUGGGGAUAAUUAGCCACCAGCUUCUCUGGAAGUAUACAUGGUUAUACAUGUUCCCCAUCUAUCAAAAGUCUUUUGCACUGAAAUAUUAAAAAAAAAUUCUGAACUUGAACCAGACAGAGUGAAUUGGCUUAGAAUACUGUAGUUUGGAUCAUUAAACUAUGGCACCUGUCAUUUGAAAAGCAACUACAAAGACUACCCUGGAACCCAGCUGACCACUUUCAGGUGGCCUAGGUUUAUCAGCUGCAAACAGUAAAAAAAAGAGCAACGUUUUCACAGAGAACUUUAUAUAUAUUUCUUUUUUCAGAAAGCUCAAUCUAUGAAAAAAAUGUCUCUUCUCUUUCAGAUGUAUGAACUUCUUUGCAAAAUGAUCUGAGGUAUCACUAGUGAGAUUAGCUAACAGCUGCGAAAUGGAACUGCUUUGCUAUGGAUAGGUGAUUAAAAAAUGUAUAUAUUGCAGUCAGUCAGCAUUAUACUCAUUAGUAAGGGGCAAGCAAAUGAAACAGGCUGAAGGUGCUGCUGUUUGGAAAACAGCUGCAGAGCUGUUGAUUGUUGGCAGGGAACACAACCGUCAUCCCCAUGUUCAGCAGGUUCCAAGGUGCAGAGAAGGGGAUGAGGUGAGCUCUCCAGGAACUGAGGCACAACUGCUUUCUGUUUGCAGACAGAAGCGAUUUCCACUGCUUUCUCUCCUGGAGGAAAUUCAGAUGGAUCUGUUUACUGGCAUAUCAGAGCUUACAUUCAUUUGUCACGAAAUCCCUUCAAAAGUCUGA